rfam:Pseudocohnilembus persalinus scaffold776, whole genome shotgun sequence.
AUCCUCUUCGGAGGUCAUCUGUUAAAAUUGAAACGAUACAGAGAAGAUUAGCAUUUUCCCUGUUCAAGGAUGAAACGCAUUAAGCGAGAAGGAAAACCCAUUUUU